rnacentral:sRNA from 1 species
GCAGAAUUCAGUGAAUCAUCGAAUCUUUGAACGCAAAUGGCGCUCUUGGGUUCUCCCAGGAGCAUGUCUGUCUGAGUGUCUUUUUCGUUGAAUGACAUUCGCACGAUGUGGCCGUGUUAUGCACUGGCGUUUCGUGCGGCGUUGAGGUUCGCGGCCUUGCUAUUCUUAGGCCGCGUGCCUUUAAAUGGAGGAGGAAGAUGGGCUCAAGGUCCGGUGCAGUCGCAUGCGGAUUCAGUUCAUGUGCCGCAUGUGACUGCUGCAUCGGGAAUAUUGUCCUCGGCCCUCUACCUCGUGACCUUUAGCACGACGUUCGUUCGUUCGUUGCUUGCCGCCAGACCUCAGAUCAGGCAAGGCUACCCGCUGAAUUUAAGCAUAUUAAUAAGCGGAGGAAAAGAAACUAACAAGGAUUCCCCCAGUAACGGCGAGUGAAGCGGGAAGAGCUCAAAUUUGAAAUCUCCGAUGCCUGCAUCGGCGAGUUGUAGUUGCGAGAAGCACUUUCUAGGCGGAAGGGCCCUGCCUAAGUUGCUUGGAACAGCACGUCGCAGAGGGUGACAACCCCGUCU